GACGAACGCUGGCGGCGUGCUUAAUACAUGCAAGUCGAACGGUAAAGGCGUGCCUUUGUGCUCCGGUUGAGUUGCGAACGGGUGAGUAACGCGUGGGUAACCUGCCUUUUAGUUUGGGAUAACUACUGGAAACUGUAGCUAAUACCGCAUAACAGUUGCUGCCGCAUGGUAUGUGCUUGAAAGUUUCGAUGGCAUGAGUACCACAUGGAGCUUCUCAGUAUUAGCUAGUGGGAGAGGUAACGGCUCACCAAGGCGAGGAUACAUAGCGGAACUGAGAGGGUGAUCGGCCACACUGGGACUGAGACACGGCACAGACUCCUACGGGAGGCAGCAGUAGGGAAUCGUCGGCAAUGGACGGAAGACUGAGCGAGAAACGCCGCGUGAGUGAAGAAGGUUUUCGGGUCGUAAAGCUCUGUUGUAAGAGAAGAACGAGUGUGAGAGUGGAAAGUUCACACUGUGACGGUAUCUGACCAGAAAGGGACGGCUAACUACGUG
rnacentral:rRNA from 1 species